CUUAAUGUAGUUGUUGACUGAGUGACGCUGCAUUAUAUCAGCACAAUAUAAACAGAAUCAUGUCCAUAGUAACUCACACAUUGGAGUAAUUGAUAGGUGAUUUUUGCUUCUGAAGAGGUCCAGCUCUGGUGCAGCCAGAUUUUAAGAAAAUGGAUCAGGAUUUAGCUCAGUACAAGACCAGCUCAAAAGAGAGCAUGAAGUUACCUAAUCAGUAACGCAUGGCCAGAACUGAAACAUAUUUAUUGAAAAAAGAGUUGGAGAAAUACAAGAUGAGAAGAUAAGGCAGUGCUCUCGUCAUGGUUUACUGAGAUCUGGGCUGAUGGUCUGGGAUGAAAGUGCAAAGUGGAAACUGCUCCAAUCCAGACCGCUCUGAAGGAACCAGCCACGUCCUUCUGGAGGACCGAUUUCCUCAUGGUGACUGGCAAGUCCUCAGCACAAACACACCAUGGAUGAAAAACGGGGUCAGGCUUUGUGCUAUGUCCUCCUUUUUAUUUUCCUUAAGCACACAGGGCUGCGGGCAGGAUGGAUCGGGACUGGUGCCUCUCCUGGAAGGGCCAGGUAGGCCAGCGGGUGGCUGGCAGGGCUGGGCUGAGCACCACCACUGACAAAGGCCCCAUUAAGCUGGGCAGGGAGGUGGGGGAAUAUGAUAGCUGCCUCCCAAAGCCAGGGAAUCUGUAAAAUAAACCACUGGGCAGCGCGGACGUGGAGGUGAGGAAUGUGAAACUGGAGUCCAGCUAUUUGAGAACUGCACCCGUCCAGCGCUGCAUGAGACGGCGUUGGCUUGCAGAAGUGGAGUAGCUGGUUAUAAAAUAUAGUGUUGAAGGGGCAAAUUACUUGUUGGAAUAAAUAACUUAAACUCUAGUCAAA